AAAAAAGAAAAGAGGAAAAAAGAAAAUCCAAUUUCUCCUGAACUGGAUGCAUUCGCAACGAUCCAAACCUGGCCGAUAGACUAUAAAUCGCGCCGUGUCCAGAUCAGCGCACUGGAGGAAGAACACGAGAGGAUCCGCGAGUGCCACCCCCCCUCGAUCGAUCGGUUGCGGAUCAACCAACCGACCGACCGAAUCCGAACCCGGGGGAGAAGAUGGGGGAGGGGAAUGGGAUCAAAGGCAACCGCCCUCCUCCGAAUCGCCCUCCUCCUCUCCUCCCGUGAGGCGAGAGAGGCGAGGCGAAGAACGCGUGCUCCUCCUCCUCCUCUCUCCUCUCCUCUCCUCUCCUCUCCUCUCCUCUCUCUGUUUUGCUCUUCCUAAUUCGAGGAGAAGGCGACAAAGAGCUCAAUAAAAGUUCCCUCCCUUUUUGUUUUCCACAAAAGUUCUAGAACAAAUUGUUAUUUACAUAUAGGUCCUCGUCACGUGCGAACUGGUCCAGGGGAUGGGGAAUAGUUUUGUUUUUGGAUAAGUUUAGGGGGUUAUGCGUAAGAAUCCCCGAUGGUUUCGGAGAAGGUGCGGUGCGGGGGGGAUAUUCCGGCGGGGGAGAUCGGACGGUGGGGAGCCGAUGGUGGACGGAGAUGCGACAGGUUAAUAAUAAGGGGAAUUGAUCCGCGUCGACCGUGGAGACGGGGCGUGGACGGCGCCUGAAACACGUUUAAAAUGGACCGUUAUUUUGUCUUUCUUCCUUCUGGACACGUGUUGGCUUCUCCUAGUAAUUUGAUAAUUUGAUUUCACAUAUUACUUUCCCAAAAUAUAAAAACCUAUGAUUAGAUAGAACAUACCAUAAAAUUAUGAAUCUAGAUAGGGGCGUAUCCAUAUUCGUAGUAUCAUCCGGUUUUAGGUUGUAAUAUUUUGGAAUGGAUACAGUAGGACUCUACGUCACUUUUGACUUCUCGAUUUUUAAAUGCUUCUUCAUUCAGACUUAAAGUUAAACAUUUUAAUUUUCACCAUCAUUUUUUUUAUAAAUUCAUAUAGUUUAAUAUCGUAAUAUUUGUAUUUCAAGAUUUAUAUAAAAAAUAUUUUCAACAAUUCAUGUAUUAUUUAACUACAUUAACUUAAAAAAUUAAUAGUUACAGAUAAGCAUGUUUGACUUAAAAUAAACCUAAAAUGAUAGAUAAUUUGAAACAUGGGAAAUCAAAUCAAUUCAAAAUCAAUGCACCAAAAUCUCAGCAUUUUUAGCAAAUCAGGUGCUUAAAAGGGAAAUCAAAUCAAUUCAAAAUUUAAAAUUUAACUACCAAGGUGACUCAGAGAAUCUUUCGUCUCAUCCUUAUUUUUUGCUAAACAAUUUUAUAAUGCUUAUAUUUUAGAAACAGGGAGUAGUAAAAAAAAUAUGGCAAUUGAGUAGGCAAGUGAUAUUAAAUGAUAAGAAAGUAAUAAAUUUUGAUUUGUACGAUAGGCUAAAAUUUAUGUAUCAUGUAUAUGUAUAAAGUUGAUCCCCACUAAGUAUAGUUAAUGCUAAUUCUCUUUUCUCUCAUGAAGCCACAUCAACUUAAUUGUUUUUAGCUUUUGGAUGAUUUAUCAAGGGUGUAAAAUGCAUCUCUUCACAUCACCUUAAUUGUUUUAAGUCUUUUGGAUGAUUCAUCAGGAGUGUAAAUUACAUCUCUUCCUCCUAAAAGGCACAUCAUACAACCUAAUCAUUUAUAACCUAUUUAUAACCUUUGGAUAAUUAGUAAAGGUAAAGAAAUAUAUAAACACAUGAAAAAAAAUGGUAUAGUAGGUAACAAAGAAAAUUUUAGAACUCGUGUAUACUAUAUUAUCACACAAUUCUUCCGCAGCAACACACGGGAUACCCAUCUAGUUUUAAUAAGUUUUGAAUGCUAGAAGACAAAGGGAAUAGUAUAUACACCCAUACUUUAACCGGAUGAUCCAUAGUUUGGCCCUCUUUGUUUAGGCUUAGGCUUAUUGGCCUAGACUUUUAAGUCAGCUUAUUGGCUUAUAUGAUUUAUAAGCCAGUGGAUUUAAUGUCCUAAGUUUAGUGGUGGAGUCAUACAUCUAUCUCAUAUAAGCCCAAAAAAGCUUCUCCAACCUAACUUUUGGCUUAAUAGUGUUAGAGUGACUUAUGGCUUAAAAAAACCAAAUGAAAAGGUUGCUUGUUUGUUUUGGCUUAGACUUUUCGACUUAUAAGUUGGCUUAAAAGCCUAAACAAAGAGGGCCUUUAACUGGUUAAGAUAAACAAUAGUAAACGAAAAAGCUUAUCCAGAUUCAUACUAUUAUUAGACGACGAGCACCUUAUAUUUUUUGGAUGGAGGAAGUAUUAGGUAUGAUUGUUGAGCCCAUCCCUUGUUCCUGUAUUUUUAUUUUCUACCAAGUCAAAGCGAUGGCUGCUUAUGUACCACUCCUAACAAACAUGUCGAGAAUGGAAGUUGACACCUAGCCGCUAGUAGGUACUGCAAGCCUCCAACAGAAGCGGCUACAUACCAGCCAGCGGGGACGAUGUUCCAGAUGACACAAGAACAACAAAAGCUACAUAAUUCAGGGGACCAAGCAUUUGCUGGCUGCCUGGCUCCAUUGAUCCAUACACAAUCACACGCAACAUGCCAGUCGAUCAUUGGAAGGCCAGUUUUCAGAGAAAAACACAGUAACAACAGAAGGUUACAGACUACGGGAGACUCGUCCAUGAUCGCAUCAGCAAGCUGCUGACUCCCACCCUCAAUAUCAAAAUCAGGAAACUAGGUCAGAGAUCAUUUGUUGUUCACAGAGAAUGUGACAUCAGUUUCAGUUUAAGAACUGAUGGAAGUGCACAGGGCAACGACGAGUGCACAAAAACACUAGGCAUGUGCUCCGGCUCCCCAGCACGAACAAGAAACAGAUCUACUUAUUUCAGGCAAAGGAUUAUCUAGUGACAUGUCGGCAGCACAUGAGCUUUCGGUGUUAAAGGCAGAGAUAGUCUGCAUGCGUACAUGCUUUUCUGAGACACCUGCAAAACGUUAAGGAUGCCAUGAGGGCAUGUCUGUUGAUGAUAGAUAUGCAUGAUCUGAUCAAUCAUUAUGUGUAUUGAUCAAAAUUUUUAAUCAAGGGCAACAACUGUGUGCGAGACAUUCUGUAUCCUACUUCAGGAGGAAGAUUAUCUACCUAAGCAAAUAGCAUGGAUUUCACAGCUUCUAAUGCGACUUGUUUAGACAAUUAAUUAGGAUAAAAAAUGAAAUGAUGACGAGGAGUGGUAUAAGGUGAUACAUUGUGAACUUCAUCCGUUUGCCAUCCUUUCUGAUGAAUCUAAGCAGACUGACAGAAAAAUAACAUAAUGUUAUGGUCUGGAGAAGGAUACGACUUAUAAACAAUCAAAAUUAUAUUCUACACAGAUGCCAAUGAAAAUUAUAAUGGCAGAUGUUAAGAAGUCAUGUAGGGUAGUCAUACAGGAAGUAUCCGUGUGCACGGCUGCAUACUAGAGGUGCACACAGCCACAGGGCAAGAGAAGUUGACAUCUUACCUUCAAGCCAUAUGGGUAAAGAUGGCUUUCACAUCUUCAAACACCUCAGGGGCUGGUUUUGUCGCAUCAAUCUGAUCAAACAAUGGAUUAGCUGGAGGUAAUAAAAGCGCAUGCGUUGACAAAACAUACCAACCAGAAACUGAUAGAGCACGUGCACAAAAAUAUGGCCAUAUCUGAUGAUGGUGAUCGAAGUAGUCUCCAACUGACAGAUACCAUUUUAACACAAAGUUCUUGCACUUACUUAACCUUCCCCUGUUUGCUGAACUGAAUAUCAUAUUUCUUUGUGGCAAUGGGACUCUAAUCAUGCAGCGCAAAUUUGUUGCUAUAUGUGGAGUUUCAGGGCCUUUAUUGUACACUUUCUGACAUAGCAUUUGCACAAUGCAACAACUUAAUCGAGUAAUGAAUCAAGUGAUGAGAAAGGAUAGAGGCCAUAUGUUAAUUCAAUCACAAACGAUCAAUUAACAUACCCUGAAAAUGACAAUCUACAUAUAUCAGACUUAAGAAAACAUCCAAUCAGCUCACAAAUAUGUGUGCUCUACUCAAGGGUUUUAUUUUUCCCCAUGGUCCCUGCUAAGGAUAUGAUAUGUUGUGCAUCACUGGCUGAUUGCAGUGCACAAAACGAGAUCAGAGUAAACCAUGCUUUAUUCCAUGUGUACUGUGAAUUUCAAGUUUUGACCCUGAACCAUACAGCAGUUUACUAUAUGAUAUUGUGUGAUUAUCUUAAAUGAUGACAAGUCUAUAAAUCCGGUAGGGAGAAUAAACUGUACUGCAAGAAGCAUGCAUAACCAUUACAAAUGUACACACCUUCUUAACCAUGCCUUUUGACUCAUAAUACUCAAUGACAGGCAAGCUGGAUUCUACAAAAACUUUCAAUCUUUUCCUGAUAGUCUCAAUGUUAUCAUCACUUCUUCCCUGCAAGGCAACAAGAAAAAAAUAAUGUCUGAAGAAAUAAAUACUCAAGUGAUUGUGUCAAAAUUUAUUUAACAAAUUAAUAUCAGAGAAGAAGCAAACCUGGUUGCGACCCAAAAGGCGCCUUUCCAUUUCUUCCUCAGAACAAUCGAAAAAUAGAACAAAUUCAGGAGAUAUGCUUAUCUGAAGCAGUUGGAAGUAAGUAACCAAGGUCUGUAAUUGCUUUUAAAAUGUAAAAUAUGAACACUAACAUACACAUAAAUAAAAUUCUCCUACUGCUCUAUUCAAAACAAUGAAGACUAAGUAAGCUUACAACACUCUCAAAUACAACACGAUUCUCUUCGUUCCGUGGAAAUCCAUCAAUGAUAUACUUGUCAUUUCCACCUUUUAUUAUGGCUUCUUGCAAAAGCUUUAUGGUUAUCUCAGAUGGGACGAUUUUCCCUUCCGUUAUGAUAGUGUCAAUCAUGGUUCUGCAAAAUAUAGAACCAGUAACUAAGUGAGUGAAACAAUAAAUAUGGCAUGUGUACAUGGGCAAAUGCAUGUGUGUGUUUUUACCCGUUCUCUGAACCAGAAUUGAUUUCUGCACGCAAGAGUUCACCAGCGCUAAGAUGGAUAAAACCAAAAUGCUCUACAAUAUUGCUGCACUGAGUUCCUUUUCCACUUCCAGGACCACCUGUUCAUGGAUGCUACAUCAGAUUAAACAACACACACACAUAAAUACAGUUAUGAAUUAACAACAGCAUAAGAAGGAACUGACAGCAAGUUCACUUUUCUUCUAUAAAGUGGCAGUCAAAGGCAUGAAAUUACUUCUAAAGAAUAGAGAAAACAAUACCUAGAACAAAUAUAAUUUUAACUUUCUUGCCACCCAACAUGUUCUCAUUAAUAUCCUGCAGAAGGACAAUUUAACCCAUCAGAUUGUAUGAACACAAAAAGAUAAGCAUGAGGGUCAAAUUCA
rnacentral:sRNA from 1 species